UGGGGAAUAUUGGACAAUGGGCGCAAGCCUGAUCCAGCCAUGCCGCGUGAGUGACGAAGGCCUUAGGGUUGUAAAGCUCUUUUGGCGGGGAAGAUAAUGACGGUACCCGCAGAAUAAGCUCCGGCUAACUUCGUGCCAGCAGCCGCGGUAAUACGAAGGGAGCUAGCGUUGUUCGGAAUCACUGGGCGUAAAGCGCACGUAGGCGGAUGUGUCAGUCAGGGGUGAAAUCCCGGAGCUCAACUUCGGAACUGCCCUUGAUACAGCACGUCUUGAGUCCGAUAGAGGUGGGUGGAAUUCCUAGUGUAGAGGUGAAAUUCGUAGAUAUUAGGAAGAACACCGGUGGCGAAGGCGGCCCACUGGAUCGGUACUGACGCUGAGGUGCGAAAGCGUGGGGAGCAAACAGGAUUAGAUACCCAUGUAGUCCCUGAGCGGGCUGGCAAGGCGCAU
rnacentral:rRNA from 1 species